AAGUCGUAACAAGGUUUCCGUAGGUGAACCUGCGGAAGGAUCAUUAUUGAACGAAUGUAGAGUUGGUUGUCGCUGGCCCUCUCUGCUGGGCAUGUGCACGCCUUCUCUUUCAUCCACACACACCUGUGCACUCGUGAAGACGGAAGUGCCCUCGGGCGUCUGUCCGCUCCACAUAAAAUCAUACGCAUAUAUAUAUUGAAUGUAAUUGAUGUACACAUCUUUAAACUAA
rnacentral:misc_RNA from 1 species